AAAAUAAAAUUCUCUCCUAAUGAUGACUUGAGCCCUGCCACUCGAUGGGAGAAAUCAGCAGAACCUGUAGGAUCUUGUUCAGAAUUGACAUUUCUCUAUUGUAAUUUUGUUCCUGUUUAUUUUUAAAUUUUCUUGUUGUUUCACUGGAAAGGAAAGAUGAUGCUCAGUUUUAAACGUUAAAAGUGUACAAGUUGCUUUGUUACAAUAAAACUAAAUGUGUACACAAAG